rnacentral:lncRNA from 1 species
GAACAGGCAUUGGAGGAUUGCCGUGGUCACACGAAGAAGCAGGUAUGUGAUGAUAUCAGCCGACGCUUGGCACUGCUUCACGAACAGUGGGAUGGAGGGAAGUUGUCAGUACCUGUAAAGAAGAGGAUGGCACUGCUGGUACAAGCCCUGUUUCUCUUCAGAACUUUUACACCACCAGUGGGAUACAGCAGAUGACAUUCAUCGAUCACUCAUGGUUGACCAUGUGACUGAGGUCAGUCAGUGGAUGGUGGGAGUUAAAAGAUUAAUUGCAGAAAAGAGGAGUCUAUCUUCAGAGGAGAACAAAGAAGAGACAUCUACAGUGGCACCUGAGAACCAGACAAUACCAGGCUUCCAACCAUCUUCAUAAUGCCGGUGGCUCCCCAGACUCACCUCACAUGACUUCUAUGCCUUAGUGUGGACGGCCUCUUCUCACUUGGCUCCCUUUUACCACCAGGGAGACUGCUGGUCUUGAUGGGCCUGACCAAAGAUCCUACCUAGGCUACUGCAAGAUCACUUGUUACUCAUGUGUACAUUUCAAUAAACUUCUCAAUGGUGGGAAGUGGGUAGGAAAGGUGA